UUCUGUGUGGCUCAGUUGAUAGAGCAGGGUGCUUGCAACACUAUGGCUGUGGGUUUGAUUCCACCCAUAAGAA
rnacentral:tRNA from 1 species